UCCCUGGGCCCUCCGAUGGCUACCGUCCGCCUGGCUGGCUGAACUAUUCCGGCGGCCCCCGCACCUGCCUGCCUGCCUGCCUGCGCGUCCCCGUCUUUCCGGCUUCCGCGUGGUGCGCCGCUGCUGCCGGCGCGUGCUUCUUGCGGCGGCCGCUGCCGACGAUUUCUUUUCCCCCACCAAAUCGCCCCAAAAGAACCAUCCCUCCUCUGCCGAGGCACGUCGCCGCCGGACUAGCCAUGUCUCGGCCCCGCCGCGUCCAGGAGCUGCGUCGGCCGCUAUAUUCCGCCACGAUGCUGCGGCGUCGUCAUCUCCCGAGCAGGUCCCGCUAGGGAUUGACGAUUCGGAGACCGACGACAUGAGCCCUGAAAGGAGUUCCAUUGCUGAUUCAAUAAUACACUAAAGCGAGCACGUCACUGCCUCAAAUUGAUUUGAUCCAACUUCCAGCGGUGCAGCUUGGCCUUCACGUAUAGGCGGUGCAGCUUCCAAGGGCGGCGGUGCAGCUUCUAGGGGUGGCGGCGCCAAUCAAGCGGCAGCGGCGCUCACGUCCAGACCCCAGGGCAUCCGAACAGGAUCGAUCACGGUGGAAUCGAAAGAGACCCCGAAUUGCAUGACGCGGACCCAGUUUUAAAUAUAGCGAUCACAUUGGACCCAGUAUUUUGGACUACCCAUAAAAUUGGGUGGUUUUCUAUUUUUACAAAGGGGUAUAAUCUCCAAAUUUAGCUAAUAAAAUAUAAGAGCUUUUGGAGUUGGUUUUCAUUUUCCCUUUGGGUGAACAGAAGCUGCUUGACUUGGUGGGGAGUGAUCCAAUGUGGUUGAGCAUCAAGCAGUGACUUAAUUUGGUGAUUGAUUGAAUCAAGCAAAAAAUACUAAUAUUUUAGCUCCUCCUAUCAUGUAAAAAACCAAUAAAUAAUCACGGAGCAUAUUUUCAUGC